AAGCUAGAUGGUGUAACACCCCAUAAACAUAAAGGUUUGGUCCUGGCCUUCUUAUUGAUUCUUAACAAGAUUACACAUGCAAGCAUCCACGCCCCUGUGAGAAUGCCCUAUAAAUUUUACUAUGUAAACCUAAAGGAGCGGGUAUAAAGCACACGCAAUCGUAGCUCAAAACACCUCGCUUAGCCACACCCCCACGGGACACAGCAGUGAUUAAAAUUAAGCAAUAAACGAAAGUUUGACUAAGCUAUGUUAAUAUAGGGUUGGUCAAUCUCGUGCCAGCCACCGCGGUCAUACGAUUAACCCAAGUCAAUAAGUUUCGGCGUAAAGAGUGUUUUAGAUUAAUCAAAUACAAUAAAGUUAAGUCUCAUCUAAACCGUAAAAAGUCCUAGAUGAAGAUAAAAUAAGGAACGAAAGUCACUUUAUAAAUUAUUCUGAAUACACGAUAGCUAAGACACAAACUGGGAUUAGAUACCCCACUAUGCUCAGCCCUAAACACAAAAAAUUCACAACAAAAUUGUUCGCCAGAGAACUACGAGCCACAGCUCAAAACUCAAAGGACUUGGCGGUGCUUUAUAUCCCUCUAGAGGAGCCUGUUCUAUAAUCGAUAAACCCCGAUAUACCUCACCUCUUCUUGCUACUUCAGCCUGUAUACCGCCAUCUUCAGCAAACCUUAACAAAGGACAAAAGUAAGCACAAGUAUGAACAUAAAAACGUUAGGUCAAGGUGUAGCCAAUGAAUAGGGAAGAAAUGGGCUACAUUUACUUUAUAAGUAAAUACGCAAACUCUCGUGAAACCCGAGAGCAAAAGGCGGAUUUAGUAGUAAGUUAAGAAUAGAGAGCUUAACUGAAUCGGGCCAUGAAGCACGCACACACCGCCCGUCACCCUCCUCAAGUAUUUAAUAAACAAAACAGAUACCCAAAUGCACGUAAACAUAAUACAAGAGGAGACAAGUCGUAACAUGGUAAGCGUACUGGAAAGUGUGCUUGGAAUAAUCAAAAUGUAGCUAAAAAAGC
rnacentral:ncRNA from 1 species